rnacentral:misc_RNA from 1 species
AACGCAUAUUGCGCCCGAGGCUUCGGCCGAGGGCAUGUCUGCCUCAGCGUCGGGUUAAAAUCAUACCCUCUUAUCAUAUGUAUUGAAACAUAUAUAUAUGGUACGAUCGGGUGUGGAUCUGGCCGUUCCAGCGUGGCGCGCCUUUCGAUACUUACCUAUCGAUCGGAGCAUCAGUCCUGCUGGAUCAGCUGAAGCUCAGAGGCUGACCAAGGACCCGUCAAGGGCCGCAACUGGGUAGGCAUUUAAUGCUAACGCUUAGUUGUUGGUCUGGGACUUUCGGUCAAGGCCCUCAAACAGGAACCUUAACCCUAUUAUCUCGACCUGAGCUCAGGCAAGAACACCCGCUGAACUUAA